UACGUAGGGGGCAAGCGUUGUCCGGAUUUACUGGGCGUAAAGAGCGUGUAGGCGGCCAAGCAGGUCCGUUGUGAAAACUGGAGGCUUAACCUCCAGACGUCGACGGAAACCGCGUGGCUAGAGUCCGGAAGAGGAGAGUGGAAUUCCUGGUGUAGCGGUGAAAUGCGCAGAUAUCAGGAGGAACACCUAUUGCGAAGGCAGCUCGCUGGGACGUAACUGACGCUGAGACGCGAAAGCGUGGGGAGCAAACAGG
rnacentral:rRNA from 1 species